rnacentral:piRNA from 1 species
UAGCAAUAGAGAUAAGCCCAAGUUCACGU